GGGUCUCUGUAACACAGCAGGCAGCUGCUCCCUGAGGGAGCCACGUCCCACCAGGAGAAGCCAAACCUUCACAGGAGAAAGUCCUGAGGAGCAAGGAGCUGCAGAGAGAUAAGAACCAAUGGAUUUAAUGCCACUUAGUUACAGACAAGUGAGAAUGUUGGAGGAAGCUUCACAAAGCCUGGUUCUGCAGCCAGCUUUGGUGGGAGGAGGACAAGCCUUAGGAGGGGCCUUGCUGGUGUCUCCAGGACAGAAGUAGUUUUACACUGGGUUAUGAACACUGGCAACCAUCUCUUCCUCCCCACAAGUGGCCAUGAACAAUGAAGUACCAGGGUCUCUACUGCUGGAAAAUGAAACUGGGAAGCUGGCAACACCUUUAAUCAAGGAAAUGUGGGGAUUUAACACUCAGUACAAUUGCUGCUACCUUAGAUAUGUCAUCAGGAGAAUAUAUAUUCUUCCAGAUUAUUAGUGAAGCUCAUGCUUAAUAAGAGUGAACGUAGUUUUUAACAUUUCAUGGAAAGAAUCACCGGUAACAACAUAGCACUUCUGGCUGUACCAAUAGCACAGAAACCCAUUACUUUCCUGGAAACUGCUGAAAGUGCUGCUGAACUUCUGUCAAAGGCAAAACAUGUAAGAAAGAGAAAGCCAUUAUGUAUUUUUCAGUAC